GCAUCAGUCGUGUAAUGGUUAGCCCGAUCUCUACCCACGUGAGGACGCUGUCGGGGUUCGACUCCCUACUGAUGCU